rnacentral:rRNA from 1 species
UACGUAGGGUGCGAGCGUUGUCCGGAUUUACUGGGCGUAAAGGGCGCGUAGGCGGCCAGCACAAGUCAGUUGUGAAAUCUCCGAGCUUAACUCGGAACGGUCAACUGAUACUGUGCGGCUAGAGUGCGGAAGGGGCAACUGGAAUUCUUGGUGUAGCGGUGAAAUGCGCAGAUAUCAGGAGGAACACCGGUGGCGAAGGUGGGUCUCUGGGCCGUAACUGACGCUGAGGAGCGAAAGCGUGGGGAGCGAACAGG